rnacentral:RNase_P_RNA from 1 species
AAAGCAGACCGCCUUAUCGCUCUAUUUUUAUAGGGAGGAAAGUCCGGACACCAUAGGGAAGCAUAGCGGCUAACGGCCGUCUAGAUUAAUAAGCAAUUAUUAAUUUAAGGACUAGUGCAACAGAAAGUAUGUACAGGUAAUGCUGUAGUGAAACCAGGUAAACUCUAUGCGGUGCAAUGCCAUGUAAACCGGCAAUUAAGUGCGUCUCGUGCGAUGCCGGAGGGUAGGCAGAUAGAACAAACAAGUAAUUGUUUGUCUAGAUAAAUGAUAAGGUAUUAUUGCUUGCAAUAAGAACAGAACCCGGCUUAUAGGUCUGCUUUUUUU